AUUAUCAGCGAGGCCUAUAUAUGUCGGGGGCGCCCAUGCCUGAGCCUUCCUCUUUCCCCGAUGCCUUUUUCCGGGUGUAUAGAGGCAGCGUGGCUCCUCUGUUUGGCGUGGCGGUCAACGAGGGUCAUAAUACCGCUCAGCGUGGCUGACCACUGGUCCAGGGGCGGACGGACUGCUUUGCUGGAGGCCCGUUGUCGUGUGGUAGUCUGUCGACUUGCGUCGCGAUGGUUAUACUCCCGUCCUCCACAGUGAGGUCGCACUGUGGCACAGCUUGAGGCUACCGAUCCAAGAUCGGCUGCUGCUUUGGCCCGGCUCUGUUUCGUGUAUGUGUUGUGCUCCCUCUCACGGGGUUACGUCGCCGGCCAGCCGCCGGAGCUGCGAGCCGCUAACCCGCGGCGAUAAGGACCGGCUCUGUCC